CACCACGACCACCUGUUCCUUUUAGGAAUAGUUGUGGCAUUGUCUCGAAUAGAUCUCGUGUUCUAUACGUCCAUAGCCCAGAUCUCGAUCAAAUGUGACGAGUGACAUCUAGCAAUCUCUCAGCCUCCAAGGAGGCUCUCUCUUGUUGCUUGGUCUCUUAAGAGUUGUAAAUUUCUUUUACUUACAAUUUCUAUAUAAAAAAAAUCCUUCUAAGAUCUUGCUAUCCCUGGUUUGAAAGCAAAUCAGAAGCUACUUUUUAGAAAAGCAAAAAAGUUUUUAUAUCCAAUAGACAUGGCUUGUUUAAGGAUAUGUAGGGCUUGAUUCUUUGAUGAAAAUCCACACAAACUUUCAAGAUAAAUAUAUGAAAAUAUUCCCACCGCUUUUAAAAAAAAACAAUCAUUGGAAACUAAAAUAAAAACAUCAUAUAUACAGCAAAUGCAUUACACUAGGAAAAUCCCAAAUCAACGCUUCAAAAAAAUGUUUACACAUAACAAUCAAUAUGGAAAGAAAACAAUUCACACAACAAAUCAUCAACACAUCAAAUACUAAUUUUCUGCUAGCAAUAUCAUCAACAUAAAUAACUAUAUGUCUAAUAUAGCCUUGAAGGGUAUAGCUCAACUGAUCAGGUUCUAGAUUUGUUCCCUAGAGAUCACCAGUUCGAGUCUCACAAAUCUCAUGAUUAUUGGAGACUUACAUGGUUGUUAACUUCAUAGCCCAUAAGAUUAGUCAAGGUACGCACAAGCUGACCCGGACACCCACAUUAAUAAAAAAAAUAUAUGUCUAAUAUCACAUUACAAAUAUUCAAAGCGAUAAAAAAAUAUUUGUUAGGAUCCAUUGAAACAAGAAGGAAUAAUGUUGGUGUAUGUUGGUCACGCUCUUACAGGUUAUGUGUUGUUAUUGAUAGUGGUGUGCACUCCUCGUGUUGCUACUGGAACCUGAAAAAAUAAACCCUAAAAAAAAAACAAGUUUUUAAGUGGAAUCAAAGUUGUGGCCUUUGAGUUACCAUGGGUGAUGAUUUUAUUUUAUUUUUUGUUUGAUUUUAGGUUGAAAAUCAAGUUAAUUUCUAUUGUUUCUACUUGUUUCUUGGGCAGAUCAAGGUCGAGGCUAAAUGAAAAAGGUCAUAGAGAUUGAGUUGGCACUUGUGGUAGUGGUUGUUGUUGGAUUCUCAAAUUUUAUACACGCAAUAAAAACAUUAAAACAAAAUUAUUUAGGAGUUUUAUGAUUUCGUUCGACAAAUUUAGAGUUGUUUAGAAAUGUAUUACUAGAAGAUCUAAUCUUUUUUGGCUUUGAAUAAUUUUUUAAAGACUGGGUUGUUGCAAAUCACAAGUCGUCAAAUUGUCCGACCUCUAACAGUAAUUCACAUGAACCAUUCGUGAUAAUUUUUUUAAAUCCUUAAUUAGGAGAGAGAGAUUGUUACGCCUAAAGUAUUGAUCGAUGUCAAUCUAAUAUGGGGUUAAAAAUUUAUUUUUGAAAAUUUUUACUUGAGAAAUUUACAAAUUCUUACUUGAUAAAUUUCUUUUUGUACGCGGGGUUAAAAAAUAGUUAUGAUAAACAUGUGUUGAUCAAUGUCAAUCUAAUAUGACGCGGUCUCAAAAUUAAACAUGGUAAUAUGACACAUAUUAAAAUUAUUUGAUACAAACUAAUUUUUUAUGUUAUUGUAAGUAUUAACAAUGUUUGCAUAAUUUUUAUAGAUAAAAAAAAUUGAUUCGUCCCAUGGCGGAAAGUAGGAUAGCUAACUAGUUAGAAAGCUAAAAGAGCUCAAUGUCUCAUUGUGCAAAUUGCAUAGUGGAACUACUUUUCUCCCUUGGGUGGAAAGAUUUUUUGAAAAUGUUAAAUUUGAUCAUCGACUUUUUUUUUCACAAUUGAAUAUUUUUUAGCAUAGAUUAGAGCCUAAUUGUAUUUUUUUUUUUUUUGGGUGAGGGUUGAAUUGAUAGACAAAGAACUAAUGUGAAAAACACAAAUAAAAUAGGUGGCGUCUUUGCAAUUUGUUUACAAAGCUUAUUUAAUCCUUUAUCUUUUUAAGCUAUUAGGUAACCGGUUUUUAUAAUUGAUAUACAUUUCAUUUUGUCACGAGACUUCAUUUUCUCUUUUCCUUAGUUUUUUUGGAUGGAGAGAGAGAAGGUUACUGGAUUCUAGCUUAGAGAAAAAAGGUUGUCAUUAGAGAAGAUUUUGGCCACCAAAAGUAUAUUUUUAUGUCGAAAGAUUUCAUAUGAUGAGAGGAGUUAAGAUUAAUUUUUAAUUUUUGUACUUUUAGAACAUCUAAAAAACCAAAUCUAAACUCUGAAAGAUUUUUUGUUUCAGGUUGAUAUUGGGUUUUGAGAAGCUUUUUUUUGUUUGUUUGUUUUUGAAUGCCAUAGAUUGGUUUAACAAAGUUUUCAAAGUGUUUCAUAGAUGUUCUGGGUAAAAAAUAAUUUUUUUGGGUAUAAUAAGAACCUCAUUUUUUUUAGGCACGCUGGUGGCUAAAUUCUAGGCAUCUAUAAAAGAUGUCGUCUUGUUUUUACAGAAAAUUGCCUAAAACAAUUAAAGGCCCACAUGCGGGGCCUUUUAUGGGUGGGCUAGAUAUUAAGCCUGACUCUAUAGGCCCAACAACGUCUAGCAUCUUUCAAUUUUUUUUUAGAUUUUUUUUUUGUUAGGCUCUUUGGUCUUUUGUAAAAUAAUUUCUAAAUAUAUUUUUUAAUUAAUAAUCAUUCUCUAUUAUUUUUUUUUGCCCUUUUGAAAUAACGAUUGUUAUUUAAUGAAAUUGGGUGUUUUAUUUUUUUACAAAGGUUAGUACAAUUUAUUUUUAAUAUAUAUAUAUAUAUAUAUAUACAUAUUCAUUAUGUAUUUUUUUAUAUUACUUUUGAUAUAUGUAGUCUUGCAUAGUAUUUUUUUUUUUUAUUCAAUGAAUUUUGUGUGUGUCGAAUUCUAUUACAAAGUGAUUUUAAUAAGCAAAUUUAUUAGAUAAAAUCACGUGAAUAAUCUGUGUUGCGAUAUUAAAUAUUUUAAUUUAUAUUAAUUUUUCAAAUUUUUUGAAUUAUAUUUAUAUUUAUCGUUGAUGACUUUUUUGUAAAAUCUAUUUACAAAAUGACUUAUGAUUUAUUUGAUUUGAUGUGUGCAGAAGUUUUUUGAUUUAUAUUAAUUAUUUUUUUGAUACAUUGAAAAAUUCUACAUAUUCAAAUUUAUAUCAUAUAUUGGUAUUUUUUAAUUUGAUCAUUAUUCUUAAAACUUCUUAGUCUUUUUGCUUAACCUUUUUUAUAAAAAAAAUUAUUGUUUAUAGUUUUAUCUUUUAAUCCAGAUUAAUACUGUAUUAUUUAUAAAACCAACUUAUUUAAUUGAUUAAGAUAAUAACCUGAAUUAUUGUAUUUUUCUUCUUUUCCAAAACAUAUUGGCGAAUACCUAAAUAUACUAGCGGGCAAAUAAUACGAACCCGCAUCUUAGCGUGCGCACCAGCCUAAUAAUAUCUAUUUGUGGAGUUUCCGAGGAGAACCAGCUUUUUUUAAAAGCAUAAUAUUGCCGAUUCUCUAGUUGGAUGAAACGCAUAGAGUGGAACAUUUUAUUCUUUGUCCGCAAUAUUAAGUGGACUCGUUCCCCACCCUCUCUUUUUGAAAGGUGCAACAAAUCGCAUACCUGUCGUGAAUAUAUUAAAGUAUGAUUGUUCUUAUCUCUUACAUUUGUACCCAAAAAAAUCAUAUAUUAUGAAUGGUUUUGAGUAAAAAGAUGCAUAUGGGACAUGACAUUAUUGGGUUUCGAAGGCAAUCGGGGAAAAAUGAUGCGUAUGGGACAGCAAAAAAUUGAAAGAAAAAAAAAAGUGCAUGUGGAUACGGGGCAUUCUAGGGCUUGCACUACGCACAGAAUCCGAAGAUCAGGCUUAAAAUGAUUAUUUUUUUAUUUAAUUUGUUUUUUAAAAAAUAAUUAAACUUGUUUUUUUAAAAAAUUUAAAAUCAAAUUACAAUGGUUCAAACCGACUGAUUUUAAUUUAGUUCAGUUAUUUUAGAACAAAAUCACUUCAAACCAGCUUGGCUCGAUUUUUCUAUUUAACUUGGUUUUUUUCAGUUUGGAUUUGAUUUGAUUUUUUCAGUCCCGAACUUAUAAAAUCAAAACCAAACCAAUUAGUUUUUUUAAAAUUUUAAUUGAUUUAAUUAGUUUUUUUUUAUGGUUUAAUUUUUUCAGUUAUUUUUUUUAAUUUUAUCAAUUUAAUUAAUUUUUUAAAUUUUUUACUCGCUCCUGAUCAGGCCUUGGGGGCAUAGCAUCCUGUGAACGAAUAAACUGUUAUUCGACGGACUAUUUUAAUGCUGUCAAAAACUGUUCUGGGAAGGCUGAGAAAUGCUAAACCCAGCAUACAAUUAAAGGGAGUUGCUAUCGGCACACCCUAUCUAUCCAUCUAUCAGCACAGCCUUAUAUUUUUAUUUAUAUUAAAUACAUUAAUUGUCCUUAGAUUCCAAAAAUCAAACAGUUUAUUGGCUCUCGCAAUCUGACUUUUCUCUGCCAUAAAUCCAUGGUGGGUGAUCUGACUCUUCAUCUUUAUUUUAAAAGGUAUUAAAUGAUCUGGCUAUAUUAAGGAACUGUGAUGUUACAUGGCUGGAAUUUGUUGUGGCCUGAUAUAUCCAGUGGAUGUCAUGGUUUCGGUUUUAAUUAUUUAUAGCUAUAAUAAAUAUUAUUAAUUAUAGUGACUGGAAUACAGGGACAAUUCGAGCAUUCCAUGUGCAAAAUAAAUAUUAAAAAAAGGUUGUGCCAAUAGCCCCUUUCAUAAUUAAAAUCCCAAACUAACCCCCUCGAUUAGCACGCAUUAAUCUAAAAAUUAUGAUCCGUAAAACGUAUUUCUUUCAAUAAUAAUAUUCGCAAAACUUAUUAUUAUUAAAAAUGAUAAUAAUAAUAAUAAAUUAUUAUUAUGAUUAUUGUUAUUAUUAUUAUUGCUCCUCUUUGACUGCAAAGCGGUGGCAGGCAAUCCUUUUCUCUGGAAAUCACACCUCAUCCUUCUUAAAUUUUAAACCUCAACUAAUUACUAGAAAUCCCCUAUAUUAACUGUCUGCGCCUCUAGAAUUAUCAACAAACAAAUCGUUGAAUUCUUUUUAUCCUCUUAACAAAUCCAGGGCGUGCCUUGAUUGGAUGGGCUUAUGCUCGGCCUAGCAAUGGGCUGAUGGCUAUUCAGGCCUGAUCUCCGCCUUACGGUGGCGAGGGCUGGUGAGGUAAAAGCGGAGCAAGGACAACGUAUAUAUAAAUAUCUAGUAGUAACUUAUUUUUUCCUCUUUAUGAAACAAAAAUAUAUAAUUAUUUAAAUAAGUGGAUCCCGUCCUCUACCGACUUUAGUUAUUGUAUUGAAAUCAAGGAAGUAUAGUUAAUGUUAUGAUAUAAAGAAGAAGAAGAAGAAAGCAUGUGAUUUUAGCAAUUUUGACAACCUGGAUGAGCUGGAUUGAAGUGGUAGCAAACUUCUACCUCUCACAAAUCACUUUGAUCAACGUCCACCGCCGCAUAUCUUAAAAGAGACCCUUCUGAACCACUGUUAUUAGGAAGGUCUGGUCUUCAUAUGACACCUCAUGUCCAUCAACAUUCAACUUUGCGGCGAGUUGUGGUUUUGACAACUCGACCUCCGUCCAUAGCUUACUUCACCAUACCGAUCAACUUCUGCUUAGUAAUUAAAAAGCGUUUUUAUUUUUAUUUUUGGCAUUUUGAAGGAGUUUUUGAAAAAAAUUGAUUUUUUUAUUUCUUUGUUUUAAUUCUUUUAUAUUUUUUUAAAUUAUUUUGAAGAUCUAAUUAAAAAUAAAUUUUUUUAAAAAAUUUCAAUAUAUUUUUAAACUAUUCAAUUACUAUUUCAAUACCACACAGGAACACCAGCGCUGUAAAACAUCUUAACGAAAACAAGGGGGAGAGAAUUGAUGACUCAGAAAUAUAUUUUUCACAAACUAAAAAUAGCAUACAAGUUAUUGCGUGUUCAACUUGGUGAACUUACUUGUAACUUUUCCAAAAUAUAUUCAUAUAUAGGAGGACAACCCAUCAAGGUUAAGAAAUCAGAGAGUGCAAGUAACCAUCAAAAGAGAAGUAAUUCCGCAGCUGUGAACGCACUUUCAACAGAAACUCGUUAAUGGCACGUUAGAAAAUUGUCUUUAUUAAUCCCAAAGCUUCCAAGCAGUGACAGAGGGGAUAGUUCUCAAACCACCUGUGGAGGGGGACUAAAACACGGCGCACUCCGGCAACUCCCUGGAAGGUGCAAUUAACAGAAAAGUUUCAUUGAGCAUGAAUUCCUAUAACAUGGCUUUCUCCAUCAAUUAUCCAAGGCAAUGCGCAUGCAAUGAACCAAAUGGUUUCACUCUCAACUACCCUUCUAUGGCAAAGCAAUGUCUAGUCAAUAAGUCUUGCUGAAUAGGAAACAAUACAAAACAAGGGUGAAGACUCCUCAGCAACAAAAAAGGAAAAAGAGAAUAAGAUUUACAACUUUUGCUCCUCCCCCCUCCCAAUGAUCUAUACAUACAAGUGGGGAUGGAGGCUUCUCUAGUAGUAUACAUGUGCUUAGCAUCUAUUCAAGUUAAACUGAAGCUGGUUAGAAAUAAUUGCCCGAACCUGUAACUAUUUUCGAUGACGAAUCAUCAAAAACCCAAGGAAACCAACGUCCAUUAUCCACUCGAGACCAAGUGCACCAGCCGGUGAUUCAAAAUUGCUGGUUCAGAUCAACCAAAGAAACUCUCCAAUUUAGAUUUUCCCAGUUCCCACGAGGCAAGGGGAAUCCUACUAUGACUUUAAAGUGGAUUUGCUAUCAAAGAACCUGGCAACUGCCUGAUAGAGAUUUUCUUCCUCGAAAGGCUUUGAGACGUAUCCAUCCAUCCCACAUUUCAAGCACUCAUCAUGUGUGGCAUGUAUCACAUCAGCUGUCAUUGCUAAUAUUGGAAUAUGCCACUGGCCUUUUCUAGCUGUUCCUCCUUCUACCAUGGAUUCACCACUCAUCUGCUCAUUUGCCUGGCUCUCCAUCUGCCGGAUUCGACGAGUUGCCUCAAACCUGGAGGAGAAAACCCAUGUAAAUGGUACUUGGAAUGUAAACGUCAUGCAAAGCAUGCCAAUUGUACUUGCUUAGUUCCUGAUGCCGUGUAAACAAAUCUGUUAAGUAUGCACAAAAAGUGGUAGAGAAUAUGAGUCCUAAGCCCCUAGAUCACCAAUUUGUGUAUCCUCCAAGGUUUGAAACUUAUGGGAGCAUGAAAUUUGCUCUUUAAACUUAUUUUAACAAAUAAUGGAGCCUAGUUGCUUUUCAAUCAGAUGAAAAGAUACAAGAACCAGGCAAUUCAGAUCUCCAGAAACAAGGACCAAAUGCCCUUCCAUUCCCACUACUGCUCUGGUUGCCCAAAUAUGACGGCAAAAGCAUGGCUUCUUUUAGCCAAAAAGAUUACAUUGCUCCUUGCAAACCACAAAUUGGAGCAACUAAAAACACACCUGACCUAAUAAUUUCUCCACAUACGAACUAAAAUUUCUUAUGCAAUAUUGUUAUAUGAUGCCGAAAAGGUUCGUUAACAAAAAAAAUGGAAAGUAAAAAGAGAGGUAAUCAAAGACAUUGAUCAGUUUGGCUUUUAUGAGAAAGGGGUAUAGACAAAAAUAAUUUCAUUCUAUAAGCAACCAAGGAAGAAGAGCUGAAAAAUAAAGGACACUGCAAUCCAAAAUCAUAAAACAAAAUCUCAAAGUCAUACCCAUCCAUUUCUGGCAUUUGAAUAUCCAUGAAGCAUGCAUCAAAAGUGUGUGGUAGUUGAAGCAAUUUCAGUGCUUCUUUACCACUUUCAGCACACUCGACAUCAGCUCCAAACUUCUUUAGCGCACCUGCAGCAACUCUGCGGUUUACCUUAUUGUCAUCAACCACCAGAAUCUUCUUUCCACAGAGAAGGCUCUGAAGGAAAGAAGAUCCAUUUGGCAUGCAUUUCCCUUGUGAUCUCUUCUUGCCCAUGCCCAGCACCUGAAGAAGACAAGCAGCCACCAUACUUGCUCUCAAAGGUUUCAUGAUCACGGUAUCGGCAAAACCUGCUGCCUUUGCUUUAUCAAAUUCAGAAUUGGUAAUAUUGGUAGCAAGAAGGAUCAUCUUAGGAAACUUGAACGCAUGUCCGUUUUGUUUCCAGUCCAGUUUCCAUACACUUGAAACACCAUCCUCCCCAGAAAUCCAUGUAUCCUUCUCAACUAGAAUUAUAUCUGGCUGGAUUUUACUUCUGCAAUUUAAAACAAAGAGGUUAUGCCAAGCACAAGGUAGCAUGGAAUUUCAAAUUCUCAACAAAAUGUAAAUGUAGGAGCUCUAUCAAUGAUCUAUUUUUAUCGGCUAACUCACAUGUCAUUUUUAUAAAAACUAUUAUUUGAUACGUUUUUUAUUCAGAUCAAUUCUUUUAUGGUUUCUAUAUCAGCCAAAACUACAAGUGCUCGCACAAUAGAAGUGCACUCCAAAGAAUUUAGGAGACACUCCAUGAGAGAGUAAUUUUCUUUGAUUACCCUAUCAGGGGAAAUUUCAACCCAAACGUAUUUAUGAAAAAAGCUUACAUUAUUAAGUGAAGGGAAAAUAUAGCCUUUUAUACUUUUAACAUGCUCUUUCACAUAAAAACCCUGCUGCCCUUGAAGUAUGGGUUAAACGUAGGCCUAAAGCUAUCUUACUUUGAAAUUAUUUUGUGAACAUUGGAACUCAGUCUUGAUAGUUAGGCCAAAGCUGUCAGGAAGGACAAGGAGAGAAAAAAUCCAUCAACCAUCCCCAACCAACAACUCAGUGCAAAAAGGCUUUAGUAGAGAUCUUGGCAUUGCAAAAAUUCAAUUACAACUACACACUCCCAACAAUGUUCCUGAUAUGAAUUCUAUAUGAUAAACACACUGCAAUCUGAAUCUUGGGAGGUGAUGUGCAUCAUAGUAGCAAAUGACAUGAAAAUAAGUCAUUUCUUAGUUAAAACACAGAAGCCACAAUCUAGUAAACGAGCUUCCCCUCGUGAAGACACAAAGUGGCAUGAAAAGUGGAAUGAUUAACGUGUUUUGUCAUUAAGAUCGAACCAAAAGGCAAACCAUAGACAUCGGUGAUGGGCAGAAGAUUCACACAUGUUUCUUGCUAUUUCAUUAGAACCUUUCAAUUUCAUAAUUAAGUUAGAAUGAUUAGGGGCAAAGCCAGCCAAAUGAACUUACCCGAUGUUAGAGAACCAUUUUUCCCACAGCUACCAGCAGCCACCUUGAGGUUACUCACAACUUCAGCUAGGAUACCAAGCCUCUUCAAAUGGUAUCUGGUUACAGCAGCCCUAACUGGUUUUCCAUCAACAACUAAUGCUUUCAAUCCUCUAAAGCCAGAAGGCAAAUCUUCAGCAUUGCGUUUUUCCAUUUUGGUGAAAGCAUUUUUCUUGCACGUGCCAAAAACAGCUGUGAAUGAAAAUGUGCUUCCAACCUCAGGUCGGCUAAUAAAGCUUAUUUGACCACCCAUGAGCUCAACCAGACAUUUGCUUAUACUCAAUCCAAUUCCAGUUCCUCCAUAAUGUCUUGAUGUUGAACUGUCUGCCUGCACAAAGGGCAUGAAAACACGACUCUGGGCUUUUAAGGGGAUGCCAAUUCCUGUAUCCUCCACACACACCAUCAAAGUAAUAUUUUCAGAAGCUUCAUUGCUGGUCAUUACAUUUAUUGAGGCAUCAAAUCGGAAAUCUUCAUCGGAAAGAUGCUUAAAGACAUCCCAACUGUUCUGAUCAUCUGCUGCUUCACAACCACUUAAGGUAUUGUACUUUUGGGACCCUGAUACAAGCACACUUUCAUUGGACCCACCAAUUAAACAAGUGUCUACUUUUGUAUCUGUCGUGGCCUUGGCAUGUUCAUACAGAUGAACUUUAACGAAUGUAUGUCCUCUUUCAGUGAACUACCAAACAGAAUUAAAUGUCAAUUACAACAAGAGGUAUAAUUCUAAAGAAGGCAAUAAAGCUAAUGGUGAAAAAAAAUAAUUAUUGGAUUAAUCAUAAACUGCAUAGUAAAACAUAAUAUUUGUGCUAAGACAAACCUCUAUCACUAUUACUGUUGGCUAAUUGAUAAAUGAACUAACAAGAAAUCACACAUAUACAUUCUAGUAGGUUGAACUGUAUAACAAAAUUCAAGCAAUACACUAACCUUAACAGAGUUCCCCACCAGAUUUGUGAUAAUCUGUCUGAAUCUCCCAGGAUCACCGACAACAAUUUCUGGAACUUUAUCAGAAACAAACACUGCCAGCUGCACUUCCACAAUUGAUUACGCAACCAUGUUUCGGGCAUUUUUUACAAUGAGAUAACACAUCCAGAAUGCCACCACCAAUUGAUAUCAGGAGUCCAUGGAAAAGAAGAAAAAAAGAAAAGGUCAGAUUAAACAUAAAAGAGAAACUUGCAGUUUGUCUUUUACAAAAUCCAAAGACCAGACGUGAUAUUUCAACCCAAGGAAAAGAAUGAAACAUGUCUUUGGUCCCUUUAAGAGAAUUCAUUUCAGCUAACAAGAAAAGAUAUGAAUAUACUGACUUGCCCUUAUUGUGUUUCCCUAGGACUUACCUCAAUGCCUUUGUUUCUAGACUUCUCAGAAAACAAAGAAAGGACAUCAUCUACUAUGGAUCGAAUAUGGAAUGGGACUGCUUCCAGCUCUAGCUUUCCAGCUUCAAUUUUUGCCCGGUCAAGCACCUCAUUUAUCAAAGCUAUCAGUGCCUUUCCACAGACUUGAGCAGUUUGAGCAUAGUCCCUCUGGGUUGAACUUAAAUCCGUAUCUAGUAGCAAAGCAAGCAUUCCUGCAAUUGUGCACAGACCAUACCACUGAUUACGAAAAGACAAGAACCUAGAAUAUUUUUCACAUUCCAUAAAUGAAAAGGAGAGAUCUUGCAUACCAAGGAUGCCAUUCAUAGGUGUUCUGAUUUCGUGAGAUACAGUAGCUAGAAACUGGCAUCAAGAACACAAUGAUACUCAGGUAGGAAGAUGCUACAGCAAGAAAACAAGGGGGGUUCAGUUAUAUUCUUUACAGAAAUGUUGGGAAAAAUACCUGGGAUUUAGCAACAUCAGCAGCUUCAGCCUGGACUUUCAAAUCCUGCAUUUCAUGGAAAUCAUCCUCGACCUUUACAAUAUGAAUUGCUGCUUCGUACAAGAUGUAACCCACUAAUAAACCGAUCACAAAGAACAAGAAAGUUGUGGUGAGUGCAGUCCAUGAAGUGGGCGCCUUCUCGUGGUACCUGCUCAGAUUUCAAAUUAUAAGCAUCUGUAUGCUGGAAACUCAUUCUUCCUUUAUCUUAGGAAAUCAAGAUCAGUGAUUUGAUACAUUUACCUGCAUGUCAUCAGAUGCCUUCUGAAUGGAUCUCCAAAAUCAAGCUUGCUUUCAUGCAAAAGAGACAUGUCACCGUCUUGAUUUUGGUGACCAUACAUGAUUAAAAGGUCAGAAGAGUUAGUUAUGUCAUAAACAUUCACCAAAAUUGCCUGAUUCCCAGCAAGCUGUCCAAGUAAAUUCUCCACAAGGGACUCGACAUCAAAGGCUCCACCAAGGUAUCUGCUUUCAAUUUGAAAUCUAUAUUAAUAGAUGAACCAGAUUUUCUACAAAAUACAUGGCAUCAACCAAACUGUAAGGGAUGAAGCAUUCCAACGCAGGAAGCCCAAAUAGCCAGGAAAUAAAGGUGACGUGGAUGAAAUUCCAGCCAUAAUAUCAAACACUACCACAGGCCUAAGAGAGCAUUUGACUGUCUGUUUUCUAAUUGCUAAUAGUGAAAUGCAAUUCAAUAAGAAGUUUUAAAUUUCCAUCUCUAGACAGCUCAGGAGAGAUAGACUUGAAAAAUCAGAAAUUGGUUCAAAGCUGUAGAACAAAGAUCACAAUGAGGAGCAAAUUUCCAUUUAAACACAAAAAUAUCGCUGAAAUUCAGAGGCAGCAUAGUGGAAAUAAAAUUCAUCAUAUCCAUAUCGAAGAAACAACACCUCAAUCUAAAGUACACACCUGAGACAAUAAAGAUUGCCAAAUUUCCAUGUCAAUGACAAGCAUAUAGAGUAACAAAGGAUUUACCUUGCCAAAUAUUUUAAGCUAUUUUACAAAAAUAAAACAAUUGAAUCAUUUUGAAGCAACAAAACUGUCUCUGUGAAACAGAAUGAAAUUUUUUCUUUUUCUAAUAUACGAUAUUGUAGUUAUGCAGCAUUGCAGCAAGAAGAUAAGAAAACAAGGAAAAGGAGAGAUGAAACAAAGUCUCAAAAUGUCAUAUUUAUUAUGCGCCAACAGAUCAAAUUUAAUGGCAUCAAACAAAUAAUUUCAUCACACUAAUAAACCAAAAUGCGAAACUUUAAAGCUCAAAAUUAGUAUCCAAAAUAAACUGCUGAAGCAUAAAGAGAAUUUUUUGAGUAACAUCAUAGAACCAUGUUUUGUCGAAUCUUCUAGUCAGCCUAUAUAUUUUUCAAAUCGAUAUUGAAUUUAAUUGAAAAUGUUAAUAUAAACCAGCACUCACCCAGCAGAUGCCUCAAUGCGCUGGGCCACAGUAGGGCUUGGAGGAAGCUUAGACUUGUAAACAGGGAAUGUCAAUACAACACCGAGGUGAUGAGAACCUAGUAACCUAAAGGGGCCCGUCAAAACAGCUUUCCCGGUAGCCCUAGCCCUCAGUAUGUUUUCUCUGUCCUCCUGCAUCAUGCCAAAGAAAACUUAAAAACUAGAUACUAAAACGUAAAUGGUGUAAACAAGGGAUCCAAAUUCAAGUCACAGACUCAAAAAGUUACCUCCCCUGACAUCAUGUCAAGAGACUCAAUGUAGGAGACCGUCUCCUGAGAAAAUAUUACAGGUGCAUAUUCAUCUCGAAUGGGUGAAGGCUCCCUCUCCAUUGUCUUUAUUGUCCACCCAUGUUGCCUCUCAAAUUCCAGCCGCUCUGAAUUGACCACUCUUUGUGCAUAGGCUACGCCACUUAACAAUGGCCUCUCAAAAGCAGUUCUAGCAGUGUACUCAGCAAAGGUUUCCUGCAGUUUUUAUCAAAAUCAAAUCUCAGCAUGCACAAUCAGAGAACAAGGUAUCGAAGGAUGAAAGAGCUCCCUAGUCGUAUACAAACAUUUGACGAAGUCAUAUCGUGUUUUUUUAACGUCUUGCAAGCCAAAUCGCAAGGAAAUGUAAGUUUCCAAUGGCUUCACCAUAAUUUGUUGAGGAACAAACAGCCUAAACAACUUCAAAGCAAAAAAAAAAAAUACAAGAAGAAGAAGAAGAAAGAAAGAAAGAAUUCUUCAGAAAUCAAAGUUAACUAAACCGUGCAUGACUUGUGGCUAAAUCGAAGUGAGUUUCCAUUUCUUUAUUUUUUUUGUUAGGGAACAGAACAGCAAACAAACUGAGAUUCCAAAAUCAUCUUGCCUUCUUUUAUUUUUUGUCUUGAAUUGAACUUCAAAAUUCAACUAACAAAAACUGAAAUCAAAGUUUCAAGAGAAAGAAAGGAGUACAAACCUGGUCAAUUGCAGACGGGUUCUUGUAGUAAUGAAAAGUGGAGACAAGAAUGGCAAGGGCAUGAACAUGGUUGACACUAACAUUGAAUUGAUCUUGCAGCAUUCUAGCCCUUUGAUCACACAUGCUACUCAACACCUCCUUCCUCCUCACUCUAUUAUCAGCAUCCAUGCCAUUGUAUAUUGUCAAACUAAAAAGUGCCAUAGCCAUGACCCAGAGCAACAAAAUCUUGGGAAGCCAAGUCCUGUUGGCUUGUAUAAAUGUAUACCCCCUUUUGGUCCCCAUUUGCUGCCCAUUCAUUUUAACAGACACUGAGUGGUGGUAGCUUUGGUGUAUCUUCAACGCCAUAGCACAACAAGAACUAAAAUCUCUCAGUUUCUUCUUGAUUUUCUCCUUGUUUCUCUGACCCCCAGUUCAUAUCUAACAAGGAAAAAACCCAAUAACACAGGGACACAACACAGCCAUGUAUGUCUGAGGUAAUACUCUUUAACAAGGUAGCAAUGUUGCAGCUACCCUUUUUUCUUUUUCUGGUGUACAAAGACCUUUCUUCUUCUUCUGAUGUACAGAGAAAAGUGGCACUGCUGUUGCUUAACUACAAGUAAACUAUCAUUUACAGCAUUGUUUAGCGUGAUUUGAGCAAAAGAGGAAGACAAAAGAAAUUAGAGAGAUAAACAAAUCCCUCUCAAGAAACCCAUCUGAAGAACUGAAAUAAAGAGACCUGCAAUUGAAAAGAAAAGAGUUCUGGAUUGUUAAUUAGACACAAGCAUGAGGAGUCUCGAAAGGUAGAAAACAGCCCAAAUUCCAAAGACUCUCUCUUUCAUUCACUUCUCAAAACAGACUGUUUUGUAUAAAAAGAAAAAACACUAAUCAUUUUCAUUUCCAGGCGUGAAGAUUUUAGUAUUUUUAAUUUUAAUUUUCACUUUCACUUCUUUUUUUAACUAUGCAUGGGAGACAGGAAGAGAGAGGGGAAUAGUGUGCGCGAGAGGCAACAAGACAAGGAAGAAGCACGUUCACUGCUGUUUGUUUAGUAUUAUAAAAAUUAGCAGCACUAACUACAAAUCUAAACACAUAUUGACCAAAGAACAAGAACAGCGAAGCACAAGCGAGCAAAAUGCUUUCUAGAGAUAAGAGGGAGGUUGUUGAAAGAAGGGAACAAACUCAAUCAACAAUGGUGGGUUUUUCUGUAGUCCAUGAGAGAGAAAGGUGGAGGUGCUUUGAAUAAUGGCCAAGUUUUUACACGCAGGUUUUUUUAUUUAUUUUAACUUGAUUUGGACAGUCUUGAUCUUGGGUUUUGUAUAUAUUUAUAAUAUAAUGUUUGUGUAUAUGUACACUUUUAUCUGCCCCUUGCUUUUUAAAGCAAACUGAAUCGAAUUUUUAGGAUUUUUGGAGAUACGCCAGCUCUCUCCCUUCUUGCACAAUCUAUUAAACUAUGAGUUAUCACUCUUACUCUCUCUUCUGAGAGCCAUGGGUCUUCACUGACUCUUCCUCCCUCCCUCUCUCUCUCUCUCUCUCUCUCUCUAUCUCUCUCUUCUCUGUCUUUCUUGUUUAUUUUAUUAGGGCAUCUCCCACGCCAUACUUUCUCCCCCCUUCUUGUUUCUCUCUCUUUCUGUUUAUAGUUUGCAGUUCACAUUGACUUGACAUUGAUACGUUUUCCUUGUCUGUAUUUUUUUGGGUCUAGAAUACAACAAGAGGAUGCAUUUUCAACUCUCUCUUUUUCCUUUUCUGUGCUUGGAUUUGCAUUUAUUUGGAUGACUUUUUAUUUUUUUUAAAUAUCUGUUUUGAAAUUUAGUUGUAAUUAUUUUUUAAAGUGUUUUUUAUUUUAAAAUAUAUUAAAAUAAUAUUUUUUUAUUUUUAAAAUUCACGCAUCAAAAUGAUUCAAAACAUAUAAAAAAAUAUUUUUUAAUUAAAAAAAUUAAAUUUUUAAAAAUACGGUUAUUCCAUACUUUUGUCUAAUCUCUAGCUUGGGUUGGCAUUAAAAAUCAAGAUUGCUUGCUAUAGGAGCGUAUAUUAGUGUAUAAUGUUUUUUAAAAAUAUUGUUUAUUUAAAAAUAUUUAAAAAUAUUUUUAGAUAUUUUUUUAAUAUUAACAUGUUAAAAUCUUGCAUUAAGAAUAUAAAUAUAAUUCUUUUUAAGAAAAAUAUAUUUUUUAAGUGCACUAGCAAAUAAGCACGAAGUGGCUUCUAAAAUCCAAACAUAAUAGUAAUGCUCUAAAAAAAUAUUAUUAUUUUAAUGUUUUUUAAUAAAAAAUAUUUUUAAAAAUAUAUUAUACAUGACGUUACCAAAUAUGUAAUAACAAUUAAAAUUGCCGUAAACUUGUUAUCAAUAUAAAAUUAAAAUAUAUGGAUUUCUUAUCUUUAAUUUAAUUGAAUACAUAAAUAAACAUAACCUUUUCACACCUGAAAAAAUAAUAUAAAGAUAUAUAUCAUCAAGCAUAGCAAUAAUAAUAAGAAAAAAAAAAAGUUGACUUACUAUUGAAAAGUUGUAUUUGGUAUGAGUUUUGAGUACCUAUUUUGUGUUUGGCAUUAACAGUGUGUUUUUUUGUUUUUUAUUUAAAAUUAUUUUUUAUAUAUUCUUGGAUAGUUUUGAUGUGAUAAUGUAAAAAAUAAAUUUUAAAAUUAAAAAUAUUAUUUUAAUAGAUUUUCAAGUAAAAAACACUUUAAAAAGUAAUCCUUAUCACAUUCUCAAACAUCUACUAAUACAUAAUCCAUAACAAAGAAAAAAUCAUAUCUAGUUUAAUAAUAAUAUUUUCUUAGAUUUAAUUUUUUUAGUUCUUUUUUGUUUAUACUUUCUUUUUAUAUUAAAAAGUAUUUGAGAGCGUGGUGUAAAUUAUUUUUUGAAGUAUUUUUUAUUAAAAAAAUAUAUUAAAACAAUAUUUUAUUAUUAUUAUUUAUAUCAUCAUAUUAAAAUAACAAUAAAAAAAUAAAUCAAAUACUAAUUUAAAAAAAUCUUUAAAAAACACCAUUUUUCUCAAACAUCAAUCAAUCCAAAAAUUGACCUUUCCUUUGUUGUGAUUGCAUAUCCUACCAUCCAUUUCGACGGUCAAAUUGCUGCUCCUAUAUAAAAAUUAAAAAAAAAAUCAUCAAUCCUCACUUCCUUGUCAAAUGCUAUCAAGACCGCCGUGAAGGCUGACAUUGAGAGAAGAACAGUAAAUUUGACUCACCCUCUGAAACAAGUACGAACUGAAAAAAACCAUACGUGGUGGUGGUCCAGUGGUAAGAAUCUGGGAUCAAAAAAUUUGCUCCCUCUGUGAUCUCAAGUUCGAGCCCUGUAAUUGCUCAUAUGAUGGUUACUGGAGGCUUACAUGGUCGUUAACUUCAGGACCCGUGGAAUUAGUCGAGGUACACACAAGCUGGCCCGGACACCCACGUUAAUCUAAAAAAAACAAGUACGAACUGAAAAAAAAACCAUGGUUUAGUUCAUGAAUUUUAAAAAUAAAAAUCUGAUAAUUCAAGAUCUUCGUUUGAUUUUCACUCCGCAAAUCUCGUUCUCUCUCUCUUUAAUUUAUUUGAACUGUGCCUGUGAGUUUUCUUCUCCGUCCUUUAUUAUUAUUAUUAUUAUUAUUAUUAUUAUUGUCUCUCCCUCGAUUUCAAUUUUUCUUCAUCAUGUUGUUGUUUUGUCAAUUAUUCCUGUAAAAACUUAAAAAUGUCAGCUAACAACCAUACUUCCAAAUCUCAUUUAAUUUGAAGAUCUUUUUUUGUCAACUAUCCAUUUAUAAUUUCAACUUGUCAUUUAAUGUAAUAUGGUGAUGUAUUAUUGAUAAAAAUUGUGUGUUUGAAAAACUAGAUAUAAAUUUUUUUUGUUAAGAUAAAAAAGGUAAAGCAGGGAAAUGAAUUGUUCUGAUUGUUAAAGAAUCUUAUUAAUUUAAUAGUUUAAAUUAUUAGAUAAAAUUUUAAAAUAUAAUUUAUAUUAUUUAAAAAAAAAAAUUACCAGACAAAUUAGAAAUAGAAAGUGUUAGCUGAACAAGUUAAAACUAUACAUGAACAAUUGACAACGACACUAAAACCCGGGAAGAUAAUUAAAAUUUACCUUAAAUCUAUAAUUUUCUAAUAUAUUUUGUAACAUGAAACAAACACGCUAUAAAAUAAUUUAUGGCAGAAAGAAUCUAAAUUUGCAAAAUAAAAAUAAAUGAAUAAAGGACAGGGGCUAAAUAUCACUAUCGCAUAUCUUUGGGAUGUUGACACCGCGAAAAGGCCACGGAUCUCAUUCCCAACUAUUUUUUUUCUAUACCUGUCUUUUACAACUCUGCCCUUCCAUGUCAUGUAGUGACUCCACUCUCGUGUUCUAAAUCGACCCUAUUUUCUUUCCUUCUCGUGAUAAAAUAGAGAAAAAAAGGACGACGCAUAUUCAAGAUUUAUUUCUCAAAAAAACCAGACAGUAAAGAAGACGUUCAGUGAGAAUUUGAAAAUAUGAUGGUUCUGUUUCAAGUAUAUUUUACAUAAAAAAAUUAAUAAAUUGAUGUUUUUUUACUGAUUUUUUAUUAUUUUAAUGUAUUGAUGUUGGAAAUAAAAAAAAAUAUUGAUGUAUUUUAAAAUAAAAAUACUUUUAAAAAUAUUGAUGAAAAAAAAUAUAAAGUGAAGGCAUGGAAUACAAAUCCUUAUUGUUCGGUUGACAGAAUAAAAUAAAUUGGAACUAACCCCUUAAUUUAUAAGUAAGCACAUCAUUACACUUUUAAAUUGAUGAUACUUGAAGAACAUAAUCAAUAAAAAAUAUCUCAUAGUCAAUCACAAUCACGAGAUACUUUUAAAAUUUUGAAAGAUGAUUUACAGAUGGAAAACAUUCUAUAAAAACAUAAAUAAGUUGGAGAUUAUUACACAGUCAUUACACUUACAUUACAGAUUCCAAUAAAAAGUGAAGUAAAGUGAAGUAUGGUGGCGGGUUUGUUUAUUUUUAUGUUUUAAAAAAAAAAUAAUUUUUUAAUUUUUUAUUUAUUUUAAAUUAAUAUUAUUUUGAUGUGCUAAUAUCAAUAAAUUUUUUUAAUAUUAUUUUAAUAUAUUUUUAAAUAAAAAACACCCCAAUUAUAAUUUUUGUUAAUAACCUUCUUUUCCUUCCCUUAAUUGGUUGGAAUUGGGCUUUGUGUUUUUUUUUAAUUGGGUGAUUUUGGUUUCAUAACCAUAUUAUAGAUUUAAAAAUUUAACUCGGUUUAAUAUUUUUUAUUUUUAUUAGGUUUUUUUUACAUUUAAUUUCCUUUUCAUUUUCAUCAUUCCAAGUUAUUUUUUAAAAAGAGGUUUCAUGAUUUUCUUCGAUUUCCUUUAUAUCCAUCUAUCUUGAUCUCAAUACCAAGAUUGCAAGUUAAUAUAAACUGACUCAUAUUUUUUUUUUGGGUUAUUGUUUUUUUUUUAAUUCAAUGUCUUUUUAAUUUCAUCAUUUAAUAUUAAAUUGUUUUAUAAACAAGUAUCGUUGUUGUUUUUUUGUUUGCUUUUUAUUAGGCUAUCUUAUUGGUAUAAUUCAGAUCACGAGGUUUGGUAGGCUUACUUGAUUUACUAUGCUUUUUUUUUACUGUAUUUUUAAAUUAAUUUUAUUACGGCUUCAUCUUUAUACAUCAUCUUUGAUGAGAAUUGGUAUGCAUUUUUUUUCAUUUGUUUUCUCUUUGUUUAUCUUGGUCAAUGAACAUGGCCAUAGGAUUUCACUGCUCGCUUAAGUUAAUUAGGUUGUUUUUCUUUUUAUAAUUUUAAUCUACUAUCCAAGUCAUAGAUUUUUUUUUACUUAUUUAAAACACGCUUGCAUUGUUCGUAUAUUUUCCAAUGAACAUGGCUAUAGAAUUUGCAUACCCGCUUAGGUUAAUUUAGGUUGUUAUUUUUCUUUUUACAAUUUCAAUCUACAACCCAAAGUCAUAAUUUUUAUUUAUUUAUUUAAAAUACGCUUGCAUCUCCCAUAUAUUUUUUAGGUUAAAAAAAUUUGUUUGGCAUGCAGCCAUAACGCGGGGCCAUAGAUGUAGUUACAUGCUAACACUUAUCUGGCACUCAUGUAAAUAAAUAAGUAAAAAAAAGACUCUUUGACAAAAUAAAAUAAAAACAUUUUACUAUUUGCAUGAAAAAAAUUAUCACUCUAUUUUCUGCUUAAAAAGGUUCUAGUUGCUCAUUUUCUAUAUUCAUUUCCCCAUGAACAACAAACACUGAUAUAUGAUUUUGAUCAUUUAGAACACUCAUACAUUAAAAAUAACUCAUUUUUCAAGAAUUAUUUUUUGUAUUAAAUACAUUAUUUUUCAAAUACAAACGCAUCCUUGAAUAUAUACUUUUGGUUCACAGAUAAUGUGUAAGCGAACCCAUUUUUCUUGCAUAUAUAUGGUACCAGCAAGAGUUGUCCAUGUAGCUAAUGGUAACUUCCUGUUUCAACGAUUCAACAUUAAAAAAAAAAAAAAAAAACCCUCCUCUUAAAUUCGAAAUGAGACAAAACAUGAAAUGUUUGUCUUAAAAUUCGAGUAGUGAAAAUUGAAAAAACAAUAAAAGAAAAGAAAUAUUUACAUGGUUUUUCACCAAUCCUUCUCGGGAUGAGCAUGAAUCGUAACAAAGGGAUGAAAGUACAGCUGACAAUGUCGUGGCUGGAAAAACCCACUGCCAACAAAAACAAUGAAAUUUUGUAACUUGGAAAACACGUGGCAUCUUUGUAUUGUUUGGUGGUUAUAAUCGGGUCACGAAGGGCAUUAUGUGUAUCAAGAAUAAGUCAAAACAUGAUUAAUGGAAUUCUUGUAAAUUUCUUUACUUUUGGUUUAUGGAAUCUAGUAGGACUUUUAUUUAUUAACCGGGAUUAAACUAAUAUUGUGAAAUUAUAUUAUAAAUUAUACAUGAUUAUAUGAAAUUUAUGAAAAAUAAGGAUGCAAAGUGAUACUGUCAUUAAAUUAGGAAAAUUUUUAGAUAAUCUAUCCCGAAAGAAAAUAACUCUUGUUUUCAAAAGGUUUAAAGACGUGAUCCUUUGUAAAUACUUUAUAAGUUUAUAGUUCAUAGAAUCAUCUUAAACUUUUUUACAAGAGCCUAGUCAAAGACAAGAGUCUUCGUCAAAGACAAAACACUACUUGGUCACUAUAUAUGCUUGUCGAUCACAACACAGGUUGGUGAGUCAUUUUUAGUAUGAUGGGAAGAAGAAAUAUUUAAGGCAAGAUUAUUAAUUCUGUUAUGGUUGAUAUUUUGUUUUUUAAUUUGAAUGAUAAAUCUUGGUUUUGAAGUAUUUUAAAGUGUUGUUUUGUGGUAUAUAUAUAAUUUAGAAUAUCAAUUUAGCAAAAUAAUUUUAAUUUAAAAACAAAUUAACUUAAAAUCAUACAAUUUAAAUUCCAAACACAAGUAAAAAUAUGGGAGUUGACUUGAUGUGAUAUGAUCGAUUCGAUGAGUUCAAAGAUAAUUUGAACAACUGGUAAAAAUAUUUUUGACUAAAAAAGUUCAAUACGAUAUAUUUUUUUAAAAAAAUACUAAGGUGACAACAUAUUAGAUCGACCCGGAUCAUGAUAUCAUAAAACAACUUAAGUCUACUCGGGUUAACUCGCAAAACUUGUGACCCCAAUAAUAAGACUGAGAUAAUUUCAUAUAAAACAAACUGAAAUAAAAUAAAAAAGCCAAAUUCAUAACCAACAAAAUGUUGAAUAAUAAAAUUAAAAAAUAGAAAAAAAAACUAUGUCAAUUGAGUUAACCCAUCAAACUUAUAACAUGGGUCUUGAGAUUGAGAUAACCACGAUAAAUUACGAAGUACAUUCUUUAAUAAAUCAGUGUUGAAAGAUAGAAUUAAAGAAAAAAAAACAUAUUUAAAAAAAAUAUAUAUUAUUUGGACUGAACGGAAUGGCUAGAACAUAACCGGAAUGUUCCAACUAGAAUUGGUUGGAAUUUCUAGAGCGGGCUGAGAUUCCGAGUGAAAUGAAAUUUAUUCUUGUUUGUUCUGUUUUUUAAAUUGAAUCGAGAUACAGUGCAUUUUGGACAGAACAAAAUAUAAUUGACAACUUUGAUUUGAGGGAUUGAUUGGAUAAUGUUAUUAAACUCGGUCUAGCUUGACAGGUAAACUCAGUGAUCUAUUAACGUGAUUUUUCCCCAACUAGAUUUUAAAUUAAAUCAAGUGGGAGUUAACUUGAUCUGACCAAAUUGAGUAUGUGAUUCAACCAAUGGCCCGAUUGAAAUCUAGUUUGAUUUUUUUAAAAAAAUAUCAUUUUAAUUUUUUUAACUAAAAUGAUAUAAUUUUAAAUUGCCUCAAGUCAAUUUACCAACCAAAACUCAAGGAGUGGGAAGGUCUAAUAAAUUUGCAUGUUUGGGUGAGACUAUUGGUGUCUUUCAGAAUGUGUUAGAAGUUGAGGUUGGUCCAUGAAACCAUAAAAAAAAAAAAACACGAAAAGAAAAGAAAUACUAUUUUUUAAAGGUGAUAUUUGUGCAUGGUUAGAUUAUAUAUAACUUCCACCUCAACUUCUACCGCAUUUUCAAAUGCAGGGCUUCCUACGAAAAACUAACUCAGUUGUCAAAAUUGUCGAAGGAAAUUAUUUUUUUAAUAAAAAAACAGAGUUCAGAUAACAUGUAUAUUACCCAACGCAGAGAAAGAGGACGACAUGAUCAUUCACAUUCAUUGAACAGAGAGGGAGGGAGGGCAAAGAGAAAGAGGACGACAUGAUCAUGAUCAUUUAUUGAACAUAGAAAGUUAGCAGGCCACAUGGCCGACAUCUACACACUUACUUUGAGUGGCAACAAAAGUUUCUACAAGAGAAGAGUCGUCUUAUAAGCCAUUGCUAGCAGACAACGCCCAGGUCACCCUCUCCCCUCCCCGUAGUCGCUUUGCCUCUGUUGUGUUGAAAACAAUGGUCCCUAAGAAAUCUCACACUUAUUCCAUCGUAAGAUAUCCUUUUUCAAAGAACAACCACCAUCAACUACUGUUUGUAUCUCCUUUCAAAGAUAUACCCAUCACGUCAAACCAACUAACAUAUCCAUUGUGGGGACGCGUUAGGUUUUAUACCAUCCUCUCUCUCUCUCUCUCCCUCUCUCUCUCUUACACACAGUGCUGCUCAUGGAGGUGCUCGCUUCCCUCAGCAAAGAUCCUGGCUUGGACUGGGCCUCUUCUCUUCCUCUUCAAUGUCCUGCCAUGGCUAUGUUGUGGUCCCGUGGUCAGGCUUUCCUUCUCCCAUGUGAUGCUCUUCGACUUGAAUACGGGUUAACUUGUUAAUAUUCACAAGUAUUUUUAUAAACUUUAUUUAAUAUAUUUAUACAUAAUAAUUCACAAAAUAAUUUUUAAUAUUAUUAUAAAAGCUAUAAUUUUAUUUGAAAACUAUUGUAAGACUAUAUAAUAUUUUUAAUAUAUUUUUAUUCAUAAUCAAUUCAACUAAAAAUAAUUAGAGGGUAAUAUAAAAGGAGGUCAAGUGUUAGGUCUAGGAUGGUUAGGCCACGCAUUCGGCAAAAAAAAGAGGAACCGGGUGCUUAUGAGCCUGUAAUGCCAUGCACCUAGCCUUUAAUUUUUUCUCUUUUUAAUGGAUGGACAACACGUUGUUCAUCCAAUUUAUUUUUAAUAAAAUGGAUAACUUGAUGUCCGUAUGGAUAAACAACACGUUAUUAUCUGGUUCAAAUUAUGACCAUUAAAAGUUGAGGUUAGGGUUAUUUGAUCUUUGAAAAACUCAUUUCUCACUUGUUUUCACCCGAAAAUACUCAAAAAAUAUCAUAACAACCUAUGUAAAACUGUUUUUAACCUCAAAUACCAUAAAAUCAAUUUAAAAUCCAGAAUUAAAUGAUUCAAAAACGCUUUAACCUAUUUUUUAUAGCAAGAUAAAAGAAUCAAAUUAGUCCUUUUGAGCUUGAUUUUCAUGGAACUCCACUCUUUAAAAAGAAUCUAUUGACAUUAAAAUCAAUUUUUUUUAUUUUCAUAGAAUGGGUGAAUGAAUAUUUUAUUUCUUGUCUUUCUUUUUCUAGUAACUUUAUCUCUCUUCCCCCUCAAUAUUAGGGACUAAAACUCAAAUAAAAUAAAGUUUAGGAUAUAGACAUAAAAUUCUUAAAUAAUAUUGAUCAAGUAUAUGUAAAAAUUAAAACUUCAUGAUCAAAUUGAAGUUUUUUGAGCCCCUUGAACAUUGAAAAUUGAAAUGCAUUUUUUUCUUAAUAUUGGUCCUUAUUCUUUCAAUUUUUUUCCAACAACACAUUAAAAUUAUUUUUUCAUAAAGUUGAUGUUCAAUUCACUUACAGAACAUUCACAAAGACCCUGUAUAUGUGAUAGAGAAUAAAUAAAAACAAAUUAUAUCACAUAAAUUGACGCAAACAUCAAAUGCGAUGAAAAAAAGGUAUCGCUGAAGAAUGAAUAGCCAUUGUGUUUUUGUGAGAUAGCCCACGGUAAAAGUGGGUUUUGUUGUUUAUCGCUAAUUGUGUGAUCGAUGAUUUACUUCCAAAAUUCAAAUCAUGAUUGCAAUUUCAAUUUAUUUAAUUAUACUGCGUAGUUUGUUUUUAUAUUUUAAAAAAAUUAAUAUUUUUUACUUCAAAUUAAUUUUUUUAAAUUAUUUUAAUAUAAUAAUAUUAAAAAUAUUAUUUUAAUACAUUUCUGAAUAAAAGAUAUUUUAAAAAGCUACUCUAAUUUUAUAUUCAAAAUACUUUCCCUGCUACAACAUAGAAUUUUAAGUGGUGGUUGUCUAUAAUUAUACUAAUUUCGAGUGAAGUAUUGUUACAAGUAUAUUGUAUAGUGAUAUUUAUAGCAAUUAUCUUUAUUAUUCAUCAUUGACAAUAUUUAUUUGACUUUAAAAACAUUUAUUUCAACUUAACUAAAAACAUUUAUAAUGGUUCUAAAAGUAUUUAUUUCAAAUGUAUUAAAACAGCAAAUGCUUUGGAUCCAAUGUUGGUGAAGACAUAUCACAACUGUCACUAAACUGACAUGCUAUGUUAAAACAUGAAAAAUGCAUAAAUAAAAAGUGAAUAUUUUGACUACACACACACGAGGGUAAAUUUAUUAUUUUAUCUUAUUUUAUAUUUUUCUCAAAAACUUUAAAGCAAUUGAACUCUUGAAAAUGGUCUCGUUGCGUUCGCUUGUUUCUCUAUUCCAUAAUUUAUUAUCUCUACAUUACCGUUAACAAGCACAACUCCUUGUAAUUACGGAUAAAAUAUCUAUAUUUACUCUUUUUUUUUUUAUAUAUAUAUAUAUAAAUAUCAACUUCCCAUUUUAACCUUUAAUAGGCCUUCGCAGUUAUUGAUAUAAUUUAUUAAUUCAUAUAUUUUUAAAUUAAUUUUAGUAAACAAGGCAUUAUCUUUUUAUUUUUAUUAACAAAUUUUGUGAUAAAAAAUUCUUAGCUCGUUUUUCAUUAAAAAUAAAAAUAAUUCGUAAUCAGCAUCUUAGUUCUUUCUUUUUUCAUUAAAACUUAAAUUGAUGCUGUCGAUAGCAUACAGCAGGCAUGAUAACCAAUAUAUUUAAAUAAUGCUUAAUGGAGAAUCUAUUAGCUAGGGUUAGCAGUGAAAAAUCCAUUGCAAAGGAAGAUGUUCCUAGCUGAUCGCAGCUUUACCAUUGCCAGUUUGUGAAAAUUGUUUGUCUUGUGAGAUAAAUGAGUCAUCGUUCUUUUCAUUAUCAACCACGACCACCUAGAUCGUCCCUCACUCGAACCCAGCCUUCACCACCUUGACAAUCACCCACGCCACCAACUCUCAAAUCAACGACCACAGAAAGCCACCUAGAUCGAUGAUGAUGCUGGAAGGGGGUCAAUGAUGAGGAGUGGCUCGGCCAGGAGAGGAACGGUCACGAGCAGGAGAGGGUGAAAACUGUUGCGGAGACAGCUCCCAGUGGUGGUUCCGGUGGGGAUUAAUAUAUAUGUGGUGGUAGUCGGUGGCUAUUUAUGGUUGAUUCGAAGAAUGUGGUUUCAUGGCUUUGGCGGUGGUGGCGAGGGGCAGUUGAGUUAGAAUUUCUAGAUGGCCAGAAAAGGGCACGGAAAGGAAGAAACAUUCAGGACAUCCUAAAUGAAGAAUUGUGUCGUGGAAUAACUGGAAAAAACGAAACAAAGUCGGAACUGUUGAUCGUGCUAACAUAGCUAUCCUCUUUGUGUGCGCGGUUUCAUUCCUUUGUUUCGAAAGGACACGGAUGGAGAAGGUGAUCAUGAUGAAUCUAUCAUAGCGAUCAUAAUAGAAGGAGAAUUCUUAUAAAAUAAAAAAUCACUUUACAUUAUUAGAGAUUAAGCUUUAAUGAAAUCAAGAAUAUUAUUAUCUUUUAUCUUUUCAGUAAAUUUUAAAAGAAUUUGAAAAUCUUAUAUAUUUUUUAAUUCCCUUUAUUUAGAAAUUAUGACCAUGGCUUUUUUUCAACCAAUAAUCAACUUAUGGAUUGACCAUGUUCCUACAUUGCAUAACAAGCUAAUAAAUUCAAAUAAAAAUAAUUUUUUUUUGACUCGGCCCGUGGGACACCUUAUAGAACGACAUUAUUUAUUAUGUCAUUGUCUUAAAGGCCACUUGCAAACGACAUUGUUUUUAAAAGAAACAAAAUCAUAGCCUGUGAAGUAAAAUUACAUUUGAUCUUCCUGUAGGAACUGCAGCAUUCAUGUCAGCGGUCUUAUACAUAUAUAUAAAAAAACAUACGAGCCAGGCUCAGAAUCAAAGGCAGGGAAAAAGACAAGACAGGUCAGGCAACAAGUUACAGAAAGUCUUCGUUGCGUAUCUACGUACCUUCAUCCGAAUAUUAUCUUUUUAGUUAAAAAUGUCUAUAAAUUGAAAUCCAAUGUACUUAGAAUAAGUUCCCAGCAAUCCGAGUUGAUUUGAAGAUAUGUGCAGAAUUUUUUAAAGCCACAGGCCAUCAAGCCAGCUUGGGGCUCUUUCAUGAUUUGGUAUAUAUGUCCAUCUGAGGUCCCGUAAUAUGCGAUACGAUUGGUUGUAUACCAAAUCCUUUUGAUUUGCUCCCAAUAAAAUAAAAGCAUAGAAACCAUAAAAUUCGUUUGACAAAGCAGCGGAAACGCUGAAUACAAAGAUGCUGAUACUUGAUCGACUAGUCAAGACAAGAAAAUUACUAGGUUCCAUGAUCCAAAAAUAUGCCCCAAACUCGUGGUAGCUAUGCAGCCUAUUAUUAUUAUUAUUAUUAUUAUUCUCAUGUUCAUUUUUCCAGUCUGGAGUAAAAUUCACAUCUUAAUCCUUUUUCCCAUCACUCCUCAUCAUUGAAGUGUUUGGUAUAAUUGUUUUUUAUUUAAAAAUACAUCAAAAUAAUAUUUUUUUAUUUUUUUAAAAUUAUUUUAAUAUUAACAUAUCAAAAAAUCUAAAAAUACUAAAAAAAUUAAUUUAAAAUAAAAAAUUAAAAAUAAAAUUAAUUUUUUAAAAAAUAUUUUUUAAAAACACAAAUAAAAACCAGAUGAAAUUUCUAUUCCCCAUCAUUAGGUGAAGUGGAUGUACUACAUGAUCUUCAAAAAGCAUAUCCCGAACCUGGAUGACUCGAGCGAGGUGGGUUAUAGCUUGGUGCUAUAGCCACUAAGCUACACAGUAAAUAAACAGUUCCAGCCACGCAAAUGUCUCAGUAUUGUUCGGCACCCAUCAACUCCAUACUCCAGUUUUGCCCUGAGAGUCUAUGAAAGGUGAGAAUAUAGCUACAUGUCAUUAAGGGAAGGGAAACAAAAUGAGAAAUAUAACUACGGCAUAGAUCAUAUUUACUAAGAAUUGGCUUGAGAAAAUCACGAGAAAUAUACUUUAAUUGAUCAGGUUUUAAGUUUGUUUUUUAAAAGUUACCAGUUCGAGUUUCAUAAACCUCAGGACCAGUCACUAAAAAUUUACGUAGUUAUUAACUUUAGACCUCGUGAAAUUAAUUAAGGUAUCCACAAACUGAUUCGGACAUUCAUGUUAAUAAAAAAAAAAUAGCUCGAGAAAUAACUUAAAUCAUUGAAUCAUCAUGUCAAUAAGCAAGUCAUCUAUAAAUAUGAAUUAAUUAUUUUUAUUAAAAAAUAUCAUUUAUUUUUUAAAAAAAAACUUUAAAGUUAAUCCAACCAAGUUUUACAUGCUUUUCAGCUCAAAAAUAUUUUUCCAACCUCAGCUGGGUUUAACACCUUGUAAGAAAUAAUAUUGAAAAGACAGAUGUUGGCAAGCAGCAUAUUUUAUAUAUACAGGAAAAGAUGGGCUUGGCCCAUUCCAAUGUAUCUGUUCGACACAAAUUUGCACUCAAUAACAGGAACACUCCUGGGGCCGAAAUGAUUUUAGAAUCUCCACAAGGACUACUACUUGUCUUUUCAACUGAAAGAAGAAAGCGGAAAGAGAUUCUUAUCCUUUAUAAAACGCUCCGUUUCCAUGAAAUAGGUGUCUGGAAGUGACUAGGAUAAAAACACACGCAAGCUCGUUAAUGAGAUGACUAAACUUGAAGGUUAUUUUUUUUUAUAGAGUGUGGUGUUGUUGUUUUUAAAAUAAUUUUUAAUAUUAAAAUUUAUAUUAAUAAUAUAUUUUUAUAUUUUUUAAAAAAUAUUUUUGACAUUAACACAUUAAAAUAAUUUAAAAACAUAUUAAUUUGAAGUUAAUAAAAAUAUAAAAAAAUUUCAAUUUUUUUUAAAAAUAUUUUUAUAACACAAAAACAAACAGUUCAAGUAUCUACCAAACAUCAAACUGAAUUAUUUUAUUGAUAAAUUAUAAGUUUCCUCAAAACUAGACUACUCCAUAGCUUUGAAUAAUGAACUACAACAAACCUAAUUUCAUUAAACGUUAUAUAAUUCAAAUAAAAUUUAACAACUUGUUCUAAAUUUUUAAAUCGUGUUAAAAAUAAAAAUAUUUACGAUAAUAAAAUAAAAUCAAGCCAUAAUAGACUAGUAGUAAUUGAGACCCCUUCCCCACUUGAGACGAAACGGGAAAAAAACUAUAUCUUCCCAUUUUUUUACUCCUGAAUUUAUAAUCAAACAUGCCGAAUAAUAAAUAUUGAAAAAUAAGAAUGUCUUCUUCUUUUUAACAAAGCAGCCACUUGAUAUCCUAGUCAGGCUAAUGAAUGUUCUUAUAGUACCUGUUAAGAAUUACUUAAUGUACAAAAUCAAAUUUUAUUAUUUUAUUUGUUAUAUGUUUUACUGUAACAACUUAUAAAUAUCACCAUAUAAAAUAAUACUCGUUUAAUUUUUGCAAUUAAUAUCAGUUGGAUAUUUCAUUUUUCUCACACUAUAGUCCUUAUAACUUUGUUUUCCUUGUACUUCAAUCCAUGUCAAGAAAAAAAUAAUUUAAUCCCUGAAAUUCUUGCAACGAUUCAAUUUAGUUUCUAAAAUGUUCUCUUUUAAUUUUUUUCAUUAUAUAUUGUUUCUAUAUUUGAGUCCUAAAAUGUUCUCUUUUAAUUUUUUUCAUUAUAUAUUGUUUCUAUAUUUGAGUCCUAAAACUUUAUUUCCACUUGUGUUUCCGUCCAUUAAUAUUUUAAAAUAAAGUUAUAUUUAGAUAAAUAAUUAAGAUAACAUUUAAUAAAUAACUUGAUUACAUCAUUUUCUUUAAAUGAGAUUAGAGCUUUAUAUGAUAAUUUUUUCAAUUAUUUUAUGAAUAAUUGUAUAUAAAUCUAAUAUAUAUUUUUUUCUUAAAAAUAUUGCACAUGAAUAUUCAAGAAGAGUAAAAUAUAUAUUUUUUUGUUAUCAUAAAUUUUGUAUGUAAUUUUCAUGAAAUAAUUAUUCUUUUGUUUUUUCCAAACAAGUGUCUAAAAACUUAUCACCACAUGAGUUUUUUAAGAUCAUGAUAAGUUUUUAAUUAAAAAAUAUGGUUUUAAUAAAAAAUAUAUGUUUUCUUCAAAAUAAAAAAAUAAAUGAAUGAGAAAUAAGAGAUUUUGACUAAAGAAAUAUAUUUUUUAUCACAAAUUUAAAUUAUUAAAACUCUUGUGAAUAUUUAUUUUAAUUACAUUAAGUUUUUAUUGAAAAAUCAUGAUGUUGAUAUAAGUGACAUGUUCUGUUAAAACAUGAAAAAUGCAUAAAUAAAAAAUGAAUAUUAUGACUAAAGAAAUACAUUUUUUUCCUCAAAAACUUAAAGCCUUCAAACUCUUGAAAUAUUUAUUUUAAUUGUAAUAAAAAUAAAUAAAAACCAACUUUAAAAAUGGUCUCGUUGUCUUCGCUUGUAUCUCUAUCCCAUAAUUUAUUACCUCUACGUUACCGUUAACAAGCACAACUCUUUAUAACCUAUACGGAUAAAAUAUUUAUACAUGUAUCUAUAUAUAUAUUUUUAUUAAUAUAAAUAUCAACUUAUACCAUUUUAAACCUUUAAUAGGCCUUUGCAAUUCUUGUUAUAUUUUAUUAAUUCAUAUAUUUUUAAAUUAAUUUUAGUAAAAAAGGCAUUAUCUUUUUAUUUUUUAUUAACAAGUUUCGUGAUAAAAAAUGCUUAGCUCCUUUUUCAUAAAAUAUAAUAAUAAUUCGUGAUCAACAUCUUUAUUUUUUCUUUUUCAUUAAAACUUAAAUUGGAAUGUUUUCGAUAGAAUACAGCAGGCAUGAUAACCAAUAUAUUUAAAUAAUGCUUAAUGGAGAAUCUAUUAGCUAGGGUUAGCAUUGAAAAAUCCAUUGCAAAGGAAGAUGUUCCUAGCUGAUCGCAGCUUUACCAUUGCCAGUUUGUGAAAAUUGUUUGUCUUGUGAGAUAAAUGAGUCAUCGUUCUUUUCAUUAUCAACCACGACCACCUAGAUCGUCCCUCACUCGAACCCAGCCUUCACCACCUUGACAAUCACCCACGCCACCAACUCUCAAAUCAACGACCACAGAAAGCCACCUAGAUCGAUGAUGAUGCUGGAAGGGAGGUCAAUGAUGAGGAGUGGCUCGGCCAGGAGAGGAACGGUCACGAGCAGGAGAGGGUGAAAACUGUUGCGGAGACAGCUCCCAGUGGUGGUUCCGGUGGGGAUUAAUAUAUAUGUGGUGGU
rnacentral:lncRNA from 1 species